GAUGAAGAACGUAGCGAAAUGCGAUAAGUAAUGUGAAUUGCAGAAUUCAGUGAAUCAUCGAAUCUUUGAACGCACCUUGCGCCCUUUGGCCAUUCCGAAGGGCAUGCCUGUUUGAGUAUCAUGAACACCUCAACUCUUCAUGGUUUUCCGUGAUGAGCUUGGACUUUGGGGGUCUUGCUGGCCUAUGGUCAGCUCCUCUAAAAUAAAUCAGCUUGCCAGUGUUUGGUGGGUAUCACAGGUGUGAUAACUAUCUACGCUUGUGGUUUUCCACCAGGUAACCUUCAGCAGUGGAGGUUCGCUGGAGCUCACAGAUGUCUCUCCUCAGUGAGGACAGCCCUUUGAAUGUUUGAUCUCAAAUCAGGUAGGACUACCCACUGAACUUAAGCAUAUCAAUAAGCGGAGGA
rnacentral:misc_RNA from 1 species